UUUAAAAAAAUUGUAAAAAAACUUAAAUGACCAAUGCUAAGCCUGGUGGGGGCACAAGUAAAGCCUGAUGGCCCGCCAGACUUAUAAUACACCCGGGGAAACCC